rnacentral:rRNA from 1 species
CAGCAGCCGCGGGAAUACGAAGGGUGCAAGCGUUAAUCGGAAUUACUGGGCGUAAAGCGCGCGUAGGUGGUUUGUUAAGUUGGAUGUGAAAUCCCCGGGCUCAACCUGGGAACUGCAUUCAAAACUGACUGACUAGAGUAUGGUAGAGGGUGGUGGAAUUUCCUGUGUAGCGGUGAAAUGCGUAGAUAUAGGAAGGAACACCAGUGGCGAAGGCGACCACCUGGACUAAUACUGACACUGAGGUGCGAAAGCGUGGGGAGCAAACAGGAUUAGAUACCCCAGUAGUCCCUGUCUCUUAUAC